rnacentral:rRNA from 1 species
UACAGAGGUCUCAAGCGUUGUUCGGAUUCAUUGGGCGUAAAGGGUGCGUAGGUGGCGCGCUAAGUCAGGUGUGAAAUUUCGGAGCUUAACUCCGAAACUGCAUUUGAUACUGGCGUGCUUGAGGACUGGAGAGGAGACUGGAAUUCAUGGUGUAGCAGUGAAAUGCGUAGAGAUCAUGAGGAAGACCAGUGGCGAAGGCGGCAUCCUGGACCGGCAUUGACGCUGAUGAGCGAAAGCUAGGGGAGCGAACGGG